CGUCCCACCCCUAGGAGCUGCUGGCCCAGGACCCUUCGAGCCCCGGAAGCUUAGGGCGGUGUGUUUAGAGACCCUUCUCCAGCUUCCCUCAACUCCUCGCCAGCGCCUCUGCAGAACUUGGCGCAGCAGAUCCCAGGACACAAGAAUAGAUUGCAUUUUCUUGCUCCACUAAGGUCUCCCGGACGCGAGCUGGUCCAAACCCUGGUAGAGACACAGUUGUGUUUGGACAUAGUGUACAGAGGAAGCUGAACUCUAGUUCCCUGAACAAAAGGGUUAAUAAACUGGGCGAUGGAAUUCACGGUGACAACAGCGAGGGUCUACCCUCACGGGGUAACCGGAUUUCCUAGCCGGAGCCGAGCCAGCUUAUUUUAAACGGAGCGCAACCUCAAGGGCCACAAUCUCAGAUUUGGGUUAGUAACGCCGAUUUGCAACCUGCGGCCAUCAGCCUCCGCGGACAGCACCCGAAAACCAACCGUGUCUGAAGAAACACGGGGCCCCCAAAGUCUUCUAAUCGGAACAAGAGACCCCCAUAGGGAGAGAGAACCAGAGAGGCGACAGGAGUCUCCCCUCGCCCUUUAUAACGAAUCCCUCCCAGAUGUAGAGGCUUCUUAUGGACUAGAGCACCAGGGCUCAUGACAAGACAUGCAAAGUGACCCGCGCUGAACGUAGGCUGGCUUCGGUUCCCACAGGGCCCUCGAAUUCCCCCACCGGGUGCACACGUCUCCUCCUCCCUCUGCGACUCCCGGGCCUUGCUGGUGUGGCCCACCUUGCUCCCAGGGCAAACCCACGCCCCCACAAGCGGUUGGAGCUGGGAGAACCAAAUUGCGGAGCAGGGCCGUUCCCGCUGAUGCAAACACGCAGAACGAA